rnacentral:rRNA from 1 species
CAAUAGCGUAUACUAAUGUUGUUGCAGUUAAAAAGCUCGUAGUUGAACUUCUGGUAGGAGUGUCCCGGCCUUUUUGUUUUUACAAAUUGUAUGCUGUGUGACAUCUCUGGCCAUCCUUCUUCUUUGUUUAAAGAAGAUCUUUCACUGUAAAAAAAUUAGGGUGUUCAAAGCAAAAGUUUCUUUGGAAUAUAUUAGUAUGGGAUGAUAAGAUAGGCUCUAGAUGCUAUUUUGUUGGUUUGCACACUUAGAGAAUGAUUAACAGGGACAGUUGGGGGUAUUCGUAUUUACAUGUCAGAGGUGAAAUUCUUGGAUUUUGGAAAGACGAACUACUGCGAAAGCAUUUACCAAGGAUGUUUUCAUUAA